rnacentral:rRNA from 1 species
AUUGAACGCUGGCGGAAUGCUUUACACAUGCAAGUCGAACGGCAGCACGGACUUCGGUCUGGUGGCGAGUGGCGAACGGGUGAGUAACAUAUCGGAACGUAUCCAAUAAUGGGGGAUAACGAGUCGAAAGAUUCGCUAAUACCGCAUACGCCCUACGGGGGAAAGCUGGGGACCUUCGGGCCUGGCGUUAAUGGAGCGGCCGAUAUCUGAUUAGCUAGUUGGUGAGGUAAAGGCUCACCAAGGCGACGAUCAGUAGCUGGUCUGAGAGGACGACCAGCCACACUGGAACUGAGACACGGUCCAGACUCCUACGGGAGGCAGCAGUGGGGAAUUUUGGACAAUGGGCGCAAGCCUGAUCCAGCCAUUCCGCGUGAGUGAAGAAGGCCUUCGGGUUGUAAAGCUCUUUCGCAAGGGAAGAAAACUUAGCCACUAACAUUGGUUGAGGUUGACGGUACCUUGAUAAGAAGCACCGGCUAACCACGUGCCAGCAGCCGCAGUAA